UCUUUAUCUCAUGAAUGUGUUGAAGAGGAACUAGAGAGUUAGCUCAUAUUCAUCGUCAUGGCAAUUAUGGUCCAGGUCUUCAGCCGAAUUCGUACCUGUCUGGAUUUGAUUUUUGUUUGAAUGGUAAAGUUGGAUUUGAAUUGGAUACAUCACCCUGCCGGGCGUUGGCUGUCGACUUGUCCUGCUAGACAGGUGAUUGGGUAUUUUAAAGUAAUAUGAAAGAGGGGAAUUGCAGCUUCAAUAUCUAUUUUCUUUCACCAAUGUUGUUUUUCUAGUGUUCAUUUGUGCUUUUCAUUUGGCUGGGGUUAGGAGCUGCCUAUUGUGUGUGUGUGUGUGUGUGUGCAGCACCUAGCUUGUACAGUGAUACUUCACCUUUCUCAUUAGAGCCUUAUGAACCGAGCCAGCGCGUCAAUCAAAGCGCUUACAUCUCUCUGAGCCUGUCCGAGCUGGUGUGGCUGUCAGACUACCUGUACCCCUUUAGAAAAGUACAUCACUUCCUGGAACGCCAUAGGUAUUGUGUAUCCACUGAAGUUUGUUAGGGGUGAAUAAUGCCCAGAAUGAGGGAUUAAACGCUGAUGUGUUGGAAAGUGAGGUAGAAGUGGCCGACCUUACCUCACCGGCCACAGCACAGACACCUAACAAAUUCUCCUCCGCUCUGUUUUUGUAAAAAAGUUACAGGAGUGUAGAAAAAAAUUGCAAGAAGCAUUUUUGUAAAAAAAGAAAAGCACAAGGUUUUAUUUCCUACAAACUCCUCCCUCCUAGAUGAUUUGGACCUUGUUUAUUUUGGUGGCAAAGACAGGAUUUUUUUGGGUGGGGGGGACAUCAUUCUGUACAGUUUGGGCAUGAUCCAGAAGUGACGUUGUGUUGGUCUGUAUUGCGCUAGGCUAGUGUAGGGCUCAACUAAAGUAGUACUGCUUGUGUGGCUACUGUCUGAAGUAUUGAGUUGCGUUGUGUACAAGGCUUAGUGAUUUACCUGGGUUACCCUUCACUCUUAGAUGGGGGAAAAUGCAGGGGGAUAUCUGCAGGUCUUUUUUUGCUAACAUUGUUGAAAUGACCAACUUUGCCUAUUGCUCGCGCUAAACUAUGAUAUGUGUUUUUGACUUGAUGUAGCGAUUGUUAGUUUACUGGGCGGUGUCUUCAACUAAAGAUAUGGGUAUAUUUCAGAGUUAGCUUGUUUCAGGCAAUUGUCUGAUAAGUAAAACAACAAUAGCUGAUUUUUAAGUUUGAAGGUAAUGUCCAUUGUAGGGUUUACAUCAGAUAUUCCAUGGAUCUAUACCUGCUGGUCCCCUUCAGAGAUGUACAGAUCAACGUGAGAGUGAUUCCAGACAAUUGCAAUGAAUUGACUGGUGGAGAAACUAGACUGAAUGUAUGAUAGUCUGUGCAAAACAAAAGCAUUGGGC
rnacentral:lncRNA from 1 species